UACGUAGGUGGCAAGCGUUGUCCGGAUUUAUUGGGUUUAAAGGGUGCGUAGGCGGUCUUAUAAGUCAGUGCUGAAAUAUCCCGGCUUAACCGGGAGGGUGGCAUUGAUACUGUAGGACUUGAGUAAAGUUGAGGUUGGCGGAAUUGACGGUGUAGCGGUGAAAUGCUUAGAUAUGAUACAGAACACCAAUUGCGAAGGCAGGUGACUAAACCGUAACUGACGCUGAGGCACGAAAGCGUGGGGAUCAAACAGG
rnacentral:rRNA from 1 species